GUGCUUGUUUCAGCAGCACAUAUACUAAAAUUGGAGUGAUAUAGAGAAGACUAGCAUGACCCAUGUUUAAGGUUGACAUAAAAAUUCAUGAAGCAUUUCAUGUUUUU
rnacentral:snRNA from 1 species